rnacentral:misc_RNA from 1 species
CAUUUUAAAUGUUAAAGGCACACCUUUACAAACUAUAAUGACAACAACCAAAAUCUUAGUAAAGGUACCAAAACAUACUAUUGAGAUACCUAAUAAAUAGUAACUUAAUCUGAAUAAGAUCCCCAAUAGGAAAAAUAUGGAACUAUGGAGAUUGAUGAGAAGUUAAUUUUAUUCUCACGUGAAUGGAGCAGCAACAUUUAGUCGUGUAGCUAAGAGCAUAAGAUAAAGUCUUGAACUUCACACUAGCAUCAACAUGUCUGGUCUUAAAGAACUAUAAGAAACCACUACUCAGAUGGUGAAUUUGAUAGUACUCGGGGACCAAGGAUAGCAAGAAACACCGAUACUCAUUCUCAGCGCUUAGAUACUACAAGAUAUCAAGAUAGAAAAAGCUUCCUACAAGAAGAUAUCAUGCUCUUCUCAUAAUAUUUGUGCAGCAAUAGAG